rnacentral:lncRNA from 1 species
GACGUGUGCGGAAAGCUCAUAAAGGGCUCAGCGCAAGGCACAAACCCAAAACGCAAGGAAUCGAGACCGAAAUACUCUCCCCAGAGUCCGGCUCGUAUGCGAGUUAGGGAGGAAAAAGGAAAGAAGGGAGAUGACACUAACGGGUGGGGCCAACCUGUCGGUGACUGGUGGCGUUGACCCGCUCGUCAGCCAGGGGAGAGAGGGAUGUGCGCUCUGGGCUGGGGAAAAGUGGGCCGUGCCGCGCUGGGUUGGGAGGUGGGCCAUCCAGGGAGAAAGAUAAGGCCGGGUGGAGAAAGAAAAAAGGGCUUGGCCUAGAAGAAAUAGGAGAGAGCUGGGCCUGCGGAUGGAGAGAAUGGGGAGCCGGUUCGGCCAGAAUUAGAGAGAGGGGAAAGUUGUUUUCCUUUUUCUUUUGUUUGUUUUUUUAUUUCCAAACCUUUUUCAAAUCCAUUUUAAAAUUUGUUUGAAAUAUUUUCAAACUUUGGUCAAAAUCAUUCAUCUCAAAAUAAAAUGCACCAGCAUGAUUUACACACAAUUGUUGCUAAGCCUUAUGAUAAAUUUUAUUUUAAAGCAAAAUAUUAUUCUUCCUAUAUUCUCAUGAGCACAAAAAUUCAAAAUUAAACCAUUUUUCACCUAUUUUAAAAUGAGCAAAUUUUUGGGUGUUACAAAUCUACCUCCCUUAAAAUGAAUCUCGUCCUCGAGAUUCGGAAGAGGCACGGAUUCCAAAAGAGAAACAAGAAAAGAUCUUGACAACUCUUUCAACUUGCAUACCCAAUAUAAACACUUAUGUCUGAAGAUCACUACUUGCGAACAAAACAUCCAUAAAAUGUCUUUUAUUCAUUACUGAUCAAGGUCCAUUUUGACUACCAACUUUUUGGCUUAUACAACUCAAAGACAUGAUAACCUAGCA